rnacentral:sRNA from 1 species
UUAGCUGGGCAUGGUGGUGGCACAUGCCUGUAAUCCCAGCUACUUAGGAGGCUGAGGCAGGAGAAUAGCUUGAACUCGGGAGGUGGAGGGUACAGUGAGCCGAGAUCGUGCCAUUGCAUUCCAGCCCGGGCGACAAGAGUGAAACUCUGAAAAUAAAAUGUCCCCAAACAGCUGAAAACCUCAGGAAAUGGGAUCUCUCCAAAAUAAGGAUGAAAUGGCUUGUUUCUAAAGUCCUGGGGGACAACGAGGGUCCUGUAGAGAGUCAUGGCCGGUGAGGUCCUGGCUCCCAAGCCCCUUGAGCCACAGCCGGAGCUGCAGGCCGGGGCAGACAGCAUGGCCCAGCCUGGGUCUGAUCCUCCCUUUCGUGGUCAUCUUUGGGUGUCCCUGCUUAUCCCCAGAGCUAGUCAGUGGGCUCCACCCUCUGUGGUGGGGCAACAUGGUCUCCAUGAACCCAGAACCUGGCACGGGCGUGACUGGCUUUGUGGGCAGCAGGGCUGGCUCGUACCAGGACCCAGUGGGGCCAUGUGGCUACGGAGCCCUUGGGUGUGGCUGCUGCCAAGUGGGGUGUGCUGCACGUGACAGGUGCACGCCAGGUUCAGCACGGGGGGUGGAGGGGAGCCUCAGCACGGGGGCUGGAGGGGAGGUGGUGGCGGCCGUCACUGGGUUCACAUGGACAUAGUGGGGUUUUGGGUCCAUCAGGUUAAAUUAACUGUCGUCCUGAUGGGGCUGUCUCCACAUCUUUUCCCUUAACGUGGCUACUAGAAAACAGGAUGGUCAGGGCCCCUUCCUUACUCGCGGCUGUGCACUCCCACCACCCGCUGCCAGCCCCUUGUGUGGGCACUGACCUGUGCUCCUGCCCCCAAGCCUGACUUCACAACGGUGCUCGCCCCCUCUGCCUCCUCUGCUGCCUGCGUGCCAGGGGACCAGGCUUGCACCGUGUCUCUUUUGGUCUUCACCGGAAUCUUCUGGAAUUAGAACAGAUACCGUAUUCCCAGAGCAGUUGCUGUGCUGGGCAGUGUCCAGGCUGGUGGCAGGGCCUGGCCCCUUUUUCCAGAACCUGCCGGCCUGCCGACUUCCUGUGCAGGUUGGGGGUCCCCUCCCCGGCCGUGCCUCACGCUCGUCUCCCCUUCUCUCUGAAGUCUAACUUCUCCCUGGCCAUCCUGAACGUGGGGGCCCCAGCGGCUGGCAUGAAUGCGGCUGUGCGCUCGGCGGUGCGGACUGGCAUCUCCCAUGGACACACAGUAUACGUGGUGCACGAUGGCUUUGAAGGCCUAGCCAAGGGUCAGGUGCAAGAAGUAGGCUGGCACGACGUGGCUGGCUGGUUGGGGCGUGGUGGCUCCAUGCUGGGGACCAAGAGGACCCUGCCCAAAGGCCAGCUGGAGUCCAUUGUGGAGAACAUCCGCAUCUACGGUAUCCACGCCCUGCUGGUGGUCGGCGGGUUUGAGGCCUAUGAAGGGGUGCUGCAGCUAGUGGAGGCUCGCGGGCGCUACGAGGAGCUCUGCAUCGUCAUGUGCGUCAUCCCAGCCACCAUCAGCAACAACGUCCCUGGCACCGACUUCAGCCUUGGCUCCGACACCGCUGUAAAUGCCGCCAUGGAGAGCUGUGACCGCAUCAAACAGUCUGCCUCGGGCACCAAGCGCCGUGUGUUCAUUGUGGAGACCAUGGGGGGUUACUGUGGCUACCUGGCCACCGUAACUGGCAUUGCUGUCGGGGCCGACGCCGCCUACGUCUUCGAGGACCCUUUCAACAUCCAUGACUUGAAGGUCAACGUGGAGCACAUGACGGAGAAGAUGAAGACGGACAUUCAGAGGGGCCUGGUGCUGCGGAACGAGAAGUGCCAUGACUACUACACCACGGAGUUCCUGUACAACCUGUACUCAUCAGAGGGCAAGGGUGUCUUCGACUGCAGGACCAACGUCCUGGGCCAUCUGCAGCAGGGUGGCGCUCCAACCCCCUUUGACCGGAACUACGGGACCAAGCUGGGGGUGAAGGCCAUGCUGUGGUUGUCGGAGAAGCUGCGCGACGUUUACCGCAAGGGACGGGUGUUCGCCAAUGCCCCAGACUCAGCCUGUGUGAUCGGCCUGAAGAAGAAGGCGGUGGCCUUCAGCCCCGUCACUGAGCUCAAGAAAGACACUGAUUUCGAGCACCGCAUGCCGCGGGAGCAGUGGUGGCUGAGCCUGCGGCUCAUGCUGAAGAUGCUGGCACAAUACCGCAUCAGUAUGGCCGCCUACGUGUCAGGGGAGCUGGAGCACGUGACCCGCCGCACCCUGAGCAUGGACAAGGGCUUCUGAGGCCAUGCCCACGCCCCUCCCCAGCCCCCACCCAUGCCAGCCGCAGCACCAGGGCUCAGAUGGGGCCUGGGCUGUUGUGUCUGGAGCCUGCAGGCAGGUGGAGGCUGUGUCCCUGCUCAGCCCACCCCCUGCCUCUAUCCCUGGCCACCUGCCAGGCCUCUCUGGGGCUGGUGUCUUGAGACCAGCCUGCCAGGCCCUCCAGCAGGAGGACAGGGCGCCCUGGGGCAUCCACCUUCCUGCCCAGGGGACGCGGCGCUGUCGGUGUUUGGAGGCUGCCGCCCCCUGGCUUUGGCGCCCCAUGGGCCCUCAGCGUCUCCCCACGCUGGGCUCACUACAUGGGCCAGCCCUCACCCUACAUGGCCUGUAGGCUGCUGGCGCCUGGGUUGUGUUGAGAGGGGGACGCCCCUGGCCCUGCCUCACUGUGACCUGCUCCUGCCCACGUGCAGCACCCGUCACCUUUUCUAGAAAUAAAAUCACCUUGACUGUGGGGUGCAUCGGUCUCUGGAGAGCA